rnacentral:rRNA from 1 species
AAUAGAUACCCUGGUAGUCCACGCCGUAAACGGUGGGCACUAGGUGUGGGCAACAUUCCACGUUGUCCGUGCCGCAGCUAACGCAUUAAGUGCCCCGCCUGGGGAGUACGGCCGCAAGGCUAAAAACUCAAAGGAAUUGACGGGGGCCCGCACAAGUGGCGGAGCAUGUGGCUUAAUUCGACGCAACGCGAAGAACCUUACCAAGGCUUGACAUACACCGGAAACGUCUGGAGACAGGCGCCCCCUUGUGGUCGGUGUACAGGUGGUGCAUGGCUGUCGUCAGCUCGUGUCGUGAGAUGUUGGGUUAAGUCCCGCGACGAGCGCAACCCUUGUCCCGUGUUGCCAGCAGGCCCUUGUGGUGCUGGGGACUCACGGGAGACCGCCGGGGUCAACUCGGAGGAAGGUGGGGACGACGUCAAGUCAUCAUGCCCCUUAUGUCUUGGGCUGCACACGUGCUACAAUGGCCGGUACAAUGAGCUGCGAUACCGCGAGGUGGAGCGAAUCUCAAAAACGCCGGUCUCAGUUCGGAUUGGGGUCUG